rnacentral:misc_RNA from 1 species
AAAAAAGACACUCCGUUCUGGGUGUUGGUGAUUUAUCUCUAGUUCCUUUGGUAUUCAUUUUCACUCGGAAAAAAGAUAAACAGCAUGAAAUUGACGCUGCUGAAGUUUCCUUGUCAUGAUGAAAGGGAUGGUAAAGAGGAUAUGGAGCAUUAAAGAUAUAGACAUAAGCAACUUAAGAGCAAUUCUUUCUGUAAACUAAAUGAAAGGAAAUUCCUUUCUGGCAAGGCAACCAAGCAACUCUAUGGGAAAGUAGUUUGCCCUCCAA